rnacentral:snRNA from 1 species
AGCUUUGUGCAGUGGCAGUACCGUAGCCAGUGACGUGCAUCCAAGGUGCGGUUAUUGAUAAUCAAGGAAAUGAUAUCAAUUGUAAAGCCUCGUUUACAAUUUCAAAGAGUAUGCUUU